UCCCAGCUACUUGAGAAGCUGAAGUAGGAGGAUCACUUGAGCCUGAAAGAAUUGAGGCUGCAAUGAGCUGUUAUCAUGCCCUAGGUCCCUUGGGUUUCUAAGUUAGAUACAUGCAAUCAGCAUACCCAAAUCCUUAGCCCUGCACUGUCAGACUAUAUUUAAUAUAUCUAAGGCUCUAGACAGCAGUGAGAAAAAGCUUUGAGGUUGGAGCGCCAAUUAGGAAGGUGAGGAGGCUAGGGCACAAAAAGGAAAUCAGAUCUGCUAGACAAGACAUUACAUAGGCUUAAUAGGGACCUAUUUUUGCUUCUGAGACAUGAUGUCUCUUGUGGUGAAGACCUUGAACUAAUUAUCAAAAUGGAGGGAAAUAUAAUUUCUAGUAUUUGGAAGCUGUCCACGAUCCCAUGGUUCUCUGUAUAAUUCAUAUGAUUCUAAAUAUAAAACUACAUUGAAAGUAUUCUAAUGCUUCAGGAAAUUGAAAGUAAUUUUGAAAACCUUUCUCCUUUCUAAUUGCAGAAGUCUCAGAAGUUUUUAUUUUGAGAAUUGACACUUUACCUUCCAGUGGCCUUGAAGAGGAAGGAGAGGAAGGACAGCAGGGUUACCUCACCAGUCCAGCUCCAGCACCCCCUCACCCCCUUCCCAGGUACCUGUCUGACUGCAGCAGGAGAUUCUAGCACAGAGGGUGCCAGCAAGCAGGGGUGCCCAGAGGGUUUCUCAUUUGAAAGAUGUUUACUGUUAGGGGAGAGUGGGAGGAGAGAAGGGACAGGCACGGGUGGGCAGAGCAUAGGUACUAGGAAUCUGCAAACCACAGACAAGAAGAAAGUGAAAGUAAAGACCUGAGCGUUUGCUGUAAGCUGCAUUAGCAGGAGGAGCACUGGGCCUGUGGGAGUGGACACGUGUGUCUCCUUCCAGGGGCUUCUGCCACAGCCUCAGCCCCAGACAUCUCAAGGCUCAGUAUGUGUGUCUGUCUGCCAGUGCACCCCAGGGGGGCCUCACAGUGAGGCUUCCUCUGCCUGGGUUCCUCCUGGCAUGGGCUUCAGUUUUCCCCUCAACCCUGCAGCCUACCAGAAGACACAAGGCAAAGCUGGUAGGGACCUCCACUCUGGGUACUGUCCCUGCCCAUCCCCUCUGGCAGUCGCUUUCCUAAUUGAAGGGUACUGGUGAAGUGCUCAGGAUGUUCUUGGUGGGUGUAUUUCCUCCAGGUGGGGGUGGCAUAAAAACCACAGCCUUUCAGAAGCCUCUGUUUCUUUCCUUGACUGGCACUUUAAAAGGUGUGUGCUCUACUACCCUUAUCAGUAGGAGAGGGAGGCUCUGUGAUCCUCCUUUAUUCUCCCAUCUUUCCACCGGGGUCUAAUACAUUUAACAAGCCUAUGAAAAGGCUGCCUACCUCAUGCCAUUUUCUAACUGUUAUUCAAAGUGAAGGACAUCUGAAAAAAGAUAUUACAUUACCUACAGCCUGGGGCGGAGGGGGGAGGGAAUAAUUUAGUACAAGGAAUUAGGAGGCAUUUCUUCUCUUUUGACAGGCUGAAAGGCUUCCUAGGUGAGGAGAGAUUUCCAUCGCUGGUUGAAGGAAGGGAAAAGGCUGAGUGGGAGGUGCAAGGGCUGCUAA